rnacentral:tRNA from 1 species
GGGGAAUUAGCUUAAGUGGUGGAGCACUCGCUUAACAUGCAAGAGGCAGUGGGAUCAAUACCCAUGUUCUCCA